rnacentral:tRNA from 1 species
GAAGGUGUAGCUCAGAGUGGUAGAGCGUAUGCUUUGCAUCCACAAGGCCCUGGGUUCAAUCCCCAGUACCUCCU